AGAGUUUGAUCAUGGCUCAGGAUGAACGCUGGCGGCGUGCCUAACACAUGCAAGUCGAACGAACCUGAUUCGGAUUCUUAGGAUGACGGAGAUGGUUAGUGGCGGAUGGGUGAGUAACACGUAGGUGACCUGCCCCGAUGAGGGGGAUAACUGUUGGAAACGACAGCUAAUACCCCAUGUGAUCGGCAAUUCGUUUUGUCGAUUAAAGCUCCGGCGCGUCGGGAGGGGCCUGCGUCCCAUCAGGUAGUUGGUAGGGUAACGGCCUACCAAGCCGAUGACGGGUAGCUGGUCUGAGAGGAUGGUCAGCCACACUGGAACUGAACCACGGUCCAGACUCCUACGGGAGGCAGCAGUGAGGAAUAUUGCGCAAUGGACGAAAGUCUGACGCAGCAACGCCGCGUGGGCGAAGAAGGCCUUCGGGUCGUAAAGCCCUUUUCUGAGGGAAGAGAAAGGACGGUACCUCAGGAAUAAGUCUCGGCUAACUACGUGCCAGCAGCCGCGGUAAAACGUAGGAGGCGAGCGUUAUCCGGAUUUAUUGGGCGUAAAGCGCAUGCAGGUGGUUUCGUUAGUCGGAUGUGAAAGCCUCUGGCUCAACUGGAGGAGGUCGUUCGAUACUGCGAAACUAGAGGUUGGGAGAGGAAAGCGGAAUUCCCGGUGUAGUGGUGGAAUGCGUANAUAUCGGGAGGAACANCNNUGGCGAAGGCGGCUCUCUGGCCCACACCUGACACUAAGAUGCGAAAGCGUGGGGAGCAA
rnacentral:rRNA from 1 species